UGGGGAAUAUUGCACAAUGGGCGCAAGCCUGAUGCAGCCAUGCCGCGUGUAUGAAGAAGGCCUUCGGGUUGUAAAGUACUUUCAGCGGGGAGGAAGGGAGUAAAGUUAAUACCUUUGCUCAUUGACGUUACCCGCAGAAGAAGCACCGGCUAACUCCGUGCCAGCAGCCGCGGUAAUACGGAGGGUGCAAGCGUUAAUCGGAAUUACUGGGCGUAAAGCGCACGCAGGCGGAUUGUUAAGUCAGAUGUGAAAUCCCCGGGCUCAACCUGGGAACUGCAUCUGGUACUGGCAAGCUUGAGUCUCGUAGAGGGGGGUAGGAUUCCAGGUGUAGCGGUGAAAUGCGUAGAGAUCUGGGGGAAUACCGGUGGCGAAGGCGGCCCCCUGGACAAAGACUGACGCUCAGGUGCGAAAGCGUGGGGAGCAAACAGG
rnacentral:rRNA from 1 species